UCUUAAUUUAGGCCCUACCCAGGCUCACCUGAGGCUCCCACCCAUGUGCCCUCCGCAUGAGCCCCUGAGUCCCAUUUAAGCUCAAGGCGGUUUUUUCAGUAUUUGCUUGAGCUGUGUUGAAAGAGGGCUGCUCUCCUGCAUGGGCCUUGAAAGCAUGCUGCAGGCAGCUGGUCUGCUGGAUAGACACCUCCACCCCACCUUGGAGGCAGGUUGUACCCAUGCAUAUCUCCUGGGGGGGUUUCAGACAUGUGUAGUCCUGCUUCCUUUUGCUCCUGACUGGACCCCCGGGUUGACCCUGGGCCUGGUUCAUUGCUGGCCUUGUCUUGGAUUAUUGAUAGCUCCAGUUAGCGGUAGUUUUAUAACUAGACGCCAAGCUGUGUUGGUAUUAAGGAGAACAGAAGAAAGGAAGAAAUUGUACAGAAAGCGUACUUGGGAAAUGAUGGCUUAGAUAUCUGGAGGCUGCAAAGCAUGGAUUUGCUCUAAACAGAGAAUGGAAAAAGGGCUGCCAUGGAAAAGCUGCUCUCACCUGACUACACAGAGAGCCCAGCCGGGGGUUGGUAAAAGUGUCUAAGCUGGAAGCCUAAAUACUGCUGUUGGGUCUAAGCUACUUGAUUGCUGGAUAGGCAGAAGUGAAUUAUGUUGUUUGUCUCAUUUUUUAAUGAUUUUUUUAAAAAAAUAAUAAAAACCUCAUGUGGUGUAGCUUUUUUUUUCUU
rnacentral:lncRNA from 1 species